rnacentral:rRNA from 1 species
GAUCCUGGCUCAGAUUGAACGCUGGCGGCAGGCUUAACACAUGCAAGUCGAGCGGAGCGAAGGUGCUUGCACCUUAGCUUAGCGGCGGACGGGUGAGUAAUGCUUAGGAAUCUGCCUAUUAGUGGGGGACAACGUUUCGAAAGGAACGCUAAUACCGCAUACGUCCUACGGGAGAAAGCAGGGGAUCUUCGGACCUUGUGCUAAUAGAUGAGCCUAAGUCGGAUUAGCUAGUUGGUGGGGUAAAGG